rnacentral:rRNA from 1 species
UACAGAGGGUGCGAGCGUUAAUCGGAAUUACUGGGCGUAAAGCGUGCGUAGACGGUUAUUUAAGUCGGGUGUGAAAGCCCCGGGCUCAACCUGGGAAUUGCAUUCGAGACUGAAUAGCUAGGGUACGGUAGAGGGAAGCGGAAUUUCCGGUGUAGCGGUGAAAUGCGUAGAUAUCUGGAGGAAUACCGGUGGCAAAGGCGGCAUCCUGGACCGAUAUUGACACUGAGGAGCGAAAGCCAGGGGAGCAAACGGG